UAAAUACUAAAAAUAUAAAUUUAUAGUAUAAAGUUAUUGAAAUAAUACGUUUAUAUAUUAAAUAUACUAAAAACUAAAAUGUGAUAAUAUAAAAUUAUUAUAUACAGUACAUAUAAUCGGGACGGAGCCACUCAUCGGCCAAGGCCUCCUAAAAUUUUUAAAAUUUUUUAAAGGUAUAUAAAUAAUUUUUUUAAAACAUGAAAAAUUAUUAUUAAAUUUCUAUAUAUUUAAAAAAUUUACCAACUCAUCCA
rnacentral:lncRNA from 1 species